rnacentral:rRNA from 1 species
UACGUAGGGCGCGAGCGUUGUCCGGAUUUAUUGGGCGUAAAGAGCUCGUAGGCGGCUUGUCGCGUCGUUCGUGAAAACCUGCAGCCAUCAACUGCAGGCUUGCGGUCGAUACGGGCAGGCUAGAGUUCGGUAGGGGAGACUGGAAUUCCUGGUAUAGCGGUGAAAUGCGCAGAUAUCAGGAGGAACACCGGUGGCGAAGGCGGGUCUCUGGGCCGAUACUGACGCUGAGGAGCGAAAGCGUGGGGAGCGAACAGG